rnacentral:rRNA from 1 species
CCUACGGGAGGCAGCAGUGGGGAAUAUUGCACAAUGGGGGAAACCCUGAUGCAGCGACGCCGCGUGAGCGAUGAAGUAUUUCGGUAUGUAAAGCUCUAUCAGCAGGGAAGAAGAUGACGGUACCUGACUAAGAAGCCCCGGCUAACUACGUGCCAGCAGCCGCGGUAAUACGUAGGGGGCACGCGUUAUCCGGAUUUACUGGGUGUAAAGGGAGCGUAGACGGCGAUGCAAGCCCUAUGUGAAAGCCCGGGGCGCACCCCCGGGACUGCAUUUGGAACUGUGUGGCUGGAGUGUCGGAGAGGCAGGUGGAAUUCCUAGUGUAGCGGUGAAAUGCGUAGAUAUUAGGAGGAACACCAGUGGCGAAGGCGGCCUGCUGGACGAUGACUGACGUUGAGGCUCGAAAGCGUGGGGAGCAAACAGGAUUAGAUACCCCAGUAGUC